UACGUAGGGCGCAAGCGUUAUCCGGAAUUAUUGGGCGUAAAGAGCUUGUAGGCGGUUUGUCGCGUCUGCCCGUGAAAAUUCGAGGCUCAACCUCGAACUUGCGGUGGGUACGGGCAGACUAGAGUGUGGUAGGGGAGACUGGAAUUCCUGGUGUAGCGGUGAAAUGCGCAGAUAUCAGGAGGAACACCGAUGGCGAAGGCAGGUCUCUGGGCCACUACUGACGCUGAGAAGCGAAAGCAUGGGGAGCGAACAGG
rnacentral:rRNA from 1 species